CACCCCGGCUGUUGUGAGAAUCAGGAAUGACAUCCAGCUUGCGUUUCACUGCAGGAGGUCUGAAGGGAUACUGUUUCUUAACUUGUUGCUAAGUGACAAAGUAACGCAACCUGUCAUUGUUUCUGUGAGACAAAGUGAGCUCGGUGCAGUCUGAGAAACAUGCAAGCAGGACAAAAGGACAAAACCUGGAACUCAGCUCGUUUCAGACAGCCACACAUGACAUCUUGGCCAAAGACUCAUCCAGUGGUGUUCCCACAUCUCCAGACUGACCACUGGAGCAAAAUGAAAACCAUGAUACCAAUUUAUCUGGCAUCAGUUCCAGUCACCCUGCUAACAAAGACAGGUUUGUCAGAACAAUAUAAUAUGUAGUCGGGUCCAUAAGUAGUUGGACAGACACACUUUUUGUAAUUU